UUUCUAUGCAAUCCAUAAAAUAAUUCGGAACAACUUUCCAUACACAAAAUUUCUAAUUUCGUUACAAAGCAUUAAUUUCACAAGCGUCAACUCGAGCCAAUAUCACAAUCGCGACAAAUUGCACGAUCCUUAACGACUCGAAUCGACUGCCAUUCGCAUCGAAACAAUCUACGGAUUCACUACGCAUUACUUAAAUCGUGAGCGUGAAUAACGAGAAUUCCAGCCUGAUUGCGCGUUAUCUUCGAAUCGUCGAUGAUAAGGGUCUGCAAUUAUUCGAAGGAUGAGUCACGGCGCGCGCCAUAACCGGUCCAACCGUGGUCUCGAAUUAUUUCGUCGCGUAUAUAUCAUAAUCGAGAGCCAUUUAUCGGUCAAAACCGUAGUGCAUUCAGUGCGUGUAUCUGCGAUUGGAUGAGUUUCCUUUGCCUGUGCGACAUAAGUCAUGCUCGGUGAUACGAGUAUUAAAAUGCAAGAACGAAACACGAUAUUUUUUUUAGCGGUCGUUCGUCGAUAAAUGAAAAAGAUGUCGCUCUUCGAGGAUUGAGAUCGAGCGUGGAAAAGAAUAGGAGGAUUAUUUAAGAUGUUCGAUUUGUACAAAAGUUUUUUAAAAUUAUUCAUUUUUAACAAAAUUUUUGAAACAAUCUAUUGUAGAGUAUUACGGAUUGUAUUUUUUUGAAAUAUCGAUAUGAAGAAAUAAAGUUUAAAUUUUGAAAUUUGAAGAUUUGUUUCUACUGUGAAAUACAAAUAGCUUGAUAAACAGCUAUAGUAAGCUAUAAGAAAGACAAUAUCCUUGAUCGAUAUCAAUUUUUAUCAUUGCAUUUGCAUACUGUAUAAUAUAUGUAUAUUACAAAACCAAUACAAUAUCUAAUUAUAAAAAUGAUCUCGAUCGUAUCACUUAUUUUAUUACAUUACACGAAGCUAAUUAAACACGACAAAGAAAAUGGGACGAUAAAAUCAAGGGAAACGAGCAUCGAUGAUGUGACGUGUAAUUUUAAAUAAUUGACAAAUUAACGAUUAUUAUUAAACAGUUCUUGCAUAUUGAAAUAUUCAAUAUUCAAUAUACCACUUCUUUAUGGAAAUAUCUCAAACCAUGUUAUUGAAAAAAUGAAGCAAAAGAUUGAAAUUCGAUAUUAAUAUUACGACGUGAUUAUCUCAUUUAUUUAUCAGUAUACAAACUAUGGUGGUUAUAUCGUUUAUUAUCAUUGCAUAGGAUUUCUAUAUUACAAAACUGAGAGGAACGACACUGUGUUAUCGUUCCUAUUGAGAAUCGAACUGUAAACCGCUUUUUCGUGCGGUUUCAGGUAUAUAUAUAUAUAUAUACACACGCACACACACACAUAUAUAUAUGGAAGGGAGGACAAAGAAAAGGCACGUUGGAUUUAUACGAGGAAAAUAAAGCAGAACGAUUGAAAUUUUAAUUAAAUGACAGAUCCGCUUUCGGCGUCGUUAAAUGUACUUUAUAACGCACACCGAUCGUGUCACCGUCUUUAUUAAAUUUCAGUAUGGGGAAAAAAGACCGGUCAUUAAAGGCCUGAAAUUUUAUCGAGGUAAAAAUAUGGAAGAAAUUUAUUUUAAGUUGAUGUAUAUGUAUAUAUGUGUAGUUCCUUCCUCACGAAUAGGGAUUUAAAUAUUGAGAUAAAAAAUUGCCGAUACAUAUAAAAAUUACGUUUGAAAAAGAUUUAGAAAAUAUUGGAAGAAAGGAUCGUUGGUAAAAAAAAUUUUAUGGACGGUACUUGAUCGAGGUUACACUUUGAUCGGAAAAUUAAUCGAAAUUUGUGAAAAGUUAGUCAAGAGUAAGUUGUGUAAUAAGAAUCCAGGACGAAAACUUUAAUACUACACGCGUGUCUGUCGAUCUAAACGCCGAGCAACUUGAAAUACCUCGGCCAUAUGAAAGUUAAAAAGUCAAGAGUCGCAUAUUUUCCCGCGGUUUGCUCGCAUGCAAAUGGAAAUUCUGUGUGCGUCGUCCAAUUAAAACGUUCUCUGCAACUCGGAUAUAGGAUAGUGUUAUUUUCUCUCCUCUGAUUCGAACGAAAAUUGACAGUGUCUUAAAAUACAUGCGUAUUCGUUGCGAUUAUUGUUAGGGAACGAUAACACAAGGCAAUUCAAGAUUGGAAAAAUCAAUUUUUCUUUUUUCGAAAUGAAAUUAAUUUCGAAUGGAGAAUAUCAAUUAGAUAUUAUUCGUUGCAUCGAUGGUAAUAUUUUUAUUAUUCUGUUAAGUUAAUUGUAGGUUCAUGGAGUGUUGUUAAUAAUUUAUUUUAUUGAUUUGAAAUUAAAUGGAAUAAAGUGUGUCUCGUGUAUCGAGAUCAAUUUUAACACGAAGAAAUUCAUUUAAAUUAUUUUCUUAUCGGGGAAUUAUUUUAUUAAAUUCAUUGUUGAUUUGAUAUUUCCAAAGGGUUCUCUGGAAUUUAAAUAAUUCCAAAGA